rnacentral:rRNA from 1 species
GAUGAACGCUGGCGGCGUGCCUAAUACAUGCAAGUCGAGCGAACAGACGAGGAGCUUGCUCCUCUGACGUUAGCGGCGGACGGGUGAGUAACACGUGGAUAACCUACCUAUAAGACUGGGAUAACUUCGGGAAACCGGAGCUAAUACCGGAUAAUAUAUUGAACCGCAUGGUUCAAUAGUGAAAGACGGUUUUGCUGUCACUUAUAGAUGGAUCCGCGCCGCAUUAGCUAGUUGGUAAGGUAACGGCUUACCAAGGCAACGAUGCGUAGCCGACCUGAGAGGGUGAUCGGCCACACUGGAGCUGAGACGCGGUCCAGACUCCUACGGGAGGCAGCAGUAGGGAAUCUUCCGCAAUAGGCGAGAGCAUGACGAAGCGACGCCGCGUGAGUGAUAAAGGUCUUCGGAUCGUAAAACUCUGUUAUUAGGGAAGAACAAAUGUGUAAGUAACUAUGCACGUCUUGACGGUACCUAGUCAGAAAGCCACGGCUAACUACGUG